CUAUCUUUUUUUCGAAAAGGAUAGGAAAGCCGGGUCGAGGACCUGGUACUCAAGGAGGGGCUCAUGUCCUAUCAGCUUGUUGGUGGGGUUAACGGCCUACCAAGGCUACGACGGGUAGCUGGUCUGAGAGGAUGAUCAGCCCACACUGGCACUGAGGAUACGGGCCAGACUCCUACGGGAGGCAGCAGUGAGGAAUAUUGCGCAAUGGGCGAAAGCCUGACGCAGCGACGCCGCGUGGGGAUGAAGGUUUUCGGAUUGUAAACCCCUUUCAUGAGGAAAGAUAAAGUGGGUAACCACUUAGACGGUACCUCAAGAAGAAGCCACGGCUAACUUCGUG
rnacentral:rRNA from 1 species